GGCCACAGACGCUGACAGAGUGUUGUCACCCCACAGUCUGAAGAGCUGAGAUUUGCUCCACAGAUGGCCCAGAGCCAGAGAGGGACUUUCUCAGCAGCAUGUCCUGGUCACAUGGUGGCUACAUGUAGGCUGAGGGUCACUCCCUGAGAGAGAUUUUGUCUUUCUACCCUUCUCCCUCACCUCUAAAAAAAUUUAGCACUUUUCUGGACAAGAUUGGGCUUACAUCAACGUAAUGCUAAAGAAGGCUGUUAAGAAGGAGAAAAUCCGGGAAGGAAAAAAAGAAGGAAAUGUUGGAAGAGAAAUUGGAGAAAGGGGAGGAGGAAGAUAACGAAGAAAUUGGAGAAGCCAAGAGUUAGGGGAAGAAAAGAAGAAGAAGAAGGAGAGAUAACAAUAGUGCUGACUUUCUAGGGUUGUUGGGAAGAUGAGAGAAUGUUUUUCGGAGUCUUUGCACGUUACCUCCAUGGAAAACUCUUUCCUCGGUGUUCUCACUUUCUCCAUUCACUUCAAAAGUCAGCUCCCAGCGAGGUGGUCCUUGCUCUCCCCGUGUAAAAGCCACUCCCUGACAUCGCUCUCUAAUUGCUUAACUGGUGCUACUGCUCUUCACAGCUCCAUCCUUCUGGGAUAAACCUUAAGUCUGCAAAGCAAGGACAAUGAUGAUUUCCUUCUUGCCGCCCAGAAGAGGACGAGGAUGAAUCCAGUGACAAGGCAAGAGCAUGAUGCGAGGCAGAGCUCAAGUCACAGAGAUCCUGGGGGAUGUGAUUUCCUCUCUUCUUUCUAAAGCCUCUGUAAAAUCUCCAGAUUUGUGUUUCUGAGUUGUGACUGCUUUAAAGAAUGUAAAAUCGGAGACACUGCGUUUCCCACAUGACUUCACCUCGGGCUAUGGGUGUGAGGCACAGUGCAGCAUCUUCAUGGGUUUACACUGGACUCCCAGGCUUGGGGAGGAGGGUGAUGAAAAAGGACGACUAUGGGAUAUAAUGGUAGCUCCAGUGGGAUUUGGAGCUUUGUGCCAUAACUUUAAGCAACUCAGGCAGGAAAGAUUGGAGAAACUGGAAAAGAAAUUGCAGGAAAUAGAAGUGGAAGGAAAUGCAAAACAGAGGAGGAGGAAGAGGAGAAACAGAGGGGACUCAUGCUAUCUUUAAUACAUGCUAAGCUCACGGGCUACCCCAUCUACAGGGGCCAAGGGAUAUCUUCAGCUUAGUUUUUGGUCAGUUUAGGCCAAUGACCUUCAAGUCUACACUUGAAGCAACCCUUAAUCAUUUGAUGGAAUUUCCUCCCUAGCUUAUCUUAUGUUGGUAUAAAGAACUGGUUAUGUUGUAAAAAGUUUGAUAUUUUUUCCCCAAGUUCCUGGCAUGGGCAUGGAGCGUCUCAUAUCCUUGGGAUUUCCAGAGUGAUAGAAGUGUCUUUGUUAUUCAUGAGCCCCUUGGCUCACUGUGCUAUCAUUAUGUUAAUGAGGUGACUCAUUGCAGACCCCCACAUAGCUUCUGAAUGAGAGCUGGUCACCAGGAAGACCAACUGUGUGAUUAGAGGGUUAGGUCUUUGAGCCAACUCAACCUCCAGGGAGGGAAGGGAGACUGGAGAUUGAGUUUAAUCAUGGGGCCAAUGAUUUAAUCAAUUAGGUCCAUAUAGUAGAACUCUGGACACCAAAGCUGAGGGGGCUCUUCCUGGUCAGUGAACACUGUGAUGUGCAGAAAGGGUGAUGCACCCUCAUUCCGGAAGGAGAGGGCACGGGAUCUUCCCAGACCUCAGCCUGUGUGUCUCUUCAUUUGGCUGUUCCAGGUCUGUAUCCUUUGUAAUAAAACUGUACUUGAAAGAUAA